rnacentral:rRNA from 1 species
UACGAAGGGGGCUAGCGUUGCUCGGAAUUACUGGGCGUAAAGCGCACGUAGGCGGAUUGUUAAGUCGGGGGUGAAAUCCUGGAGCUCAACUCCAGAACUGCCUUCGAUACUGGCGAUCUCGAGUUCGGGAGAGGUGAGUGGAACUGCGAGUGUAGAGGUGAAAUUCGUAGAUAUUCGCAAGAACACCAGUGGCGAAGGCGGCUCACUGGCCCGGUACUGACGCUGAGACGCGAAAGCGUGGGGAGCGAACAGG